rnacentral:lncRNA from 1 species
UUUUCUUUAAGCAGCCGCAACCCCAGAUCCACCUCCCCCUCCCUCGUUAUUCACCCACGGACACUUCCUAAACGUGUGGAUUGAUGCUUUUUUUCUCUCCAGAUGCUGCCACGAUCCAGAAUCCUGGAGAACCAAAGCCGCAUCCGUGUAAUUCCGACCAUCAGGCAAGAAAUACAAGCGAUCAAACAACGUUACUUCUUUGAGCUGCGAUCAGAUAAUCCUACUAAUCCAAUAGAUUUAUCUCGAUUGGAAAUUGACCUCAAAAAUGAAUUCCCAGUGCUGGUGUCCAGUAGAAUGAUUCCGUAGCCCUAUCCGGGUUACCGAAGGGCUGUGGUUUCUUUCUUUCCUUUCCUUUCCUUUCUUCCUUCCUUUCUUUCGUUUUUUAAUAAUCUUUUUGGGUUCUGGGUGCACUGCUCGCAAAG